ACGGGGCCCGCGACAAGCGGUGGAGCGAUGUGGUUUAAUUCGAAGCAACGCGAAGAACCUUACCAGGUCUUGACAUCCCGAUGCUAUUUCUAGAGAUAGAAGUACUUCGGUACAUCGGUGACAGGUGGUGCAUGGUUGUCGUCAGCUCGUGUCGUGAGAUGUUGGGUUAAGUCCCGCAACGAGCGCAACCCCUAUUGUUAGUUGCCAUCAUUCAGUUGGGCACUCUAGCGAGACUGCCGGUAAUAAACCGGAGGAAGUGGGGAUGACGUCAAAUCAUCAUGCCCCUUAUGACCUGGGCUACACACGUGCUACAAUGGUUGGUACAACGAGUUGCGAGUCGGUGACGGCGAGCUAAUCUCUUAAAGCCAAUCUCAGUUCGGAUUGUAGGCUGCAACUCGCCUACAUGAAGUCGGAAUCGCUAGUAAUCGCGGAUCAGCACGCCGCGGUGAAUACGUUCCCGGGUCUU
rnacentral:rRNA from 1 species